rnacentral:rRNA from 1 species
UACGUAGGGGGCUAGCGUUGUCCGGAAUCAUUGGGCGUAAAGCGCGCGUAGGCGGCCCAGUAAGUCCGUUGUAAAAGUCAAAGGCUCAACCUUUGAAAGCCGAUGGAUACUGCUGGGCUAGAGUCCGGAAGAGGCGAGUGGAAUUCCUGGUGUAGCGGUGGAAUGCGCAGAUAUCAGGAGGAACACCGAUAGCGAAGGCAGCUCGCUGGGACGGUGACUGACGCUGAGGCGCGAAAGCGUGGGGAGCGAACAGG